rnacentral:rRNA from 1 species
AACUUUCAACAACGGAUCUCUUGGUUCUGGCAUCGAUGAAGAACGCAGCGAAAUGCGAUAAGUAAUGUGAAUUGCAGAAUUCAGUGAACCAUCGAAUCUUUGAACGCACAUUGUGCCCGCCAGCACUCUGGCGGGCAUGCCUGUCCGAGCGUCAUC